rnacentral:rRNA from 1 species
UACGUAGGUGGCAAGCGUUGUCCGGAUUUACUGGGUGUAAAGGGCGUGCAGCCGGAGAGACAAGUCAGAUGUGGAAUCCACGGGCUCAACCCGUGAACUGCAUUUGAAACUGUUUCCCUUGAGUGUCGGAGAGGUCAUCGGAAUUCCUUGUGUAGCGGUGAAAUGCGUAGAUAUAAGGAAGAACACCAGUGGCGAAGGCGGAUGACUGGACGAUAACUGACGGUGAGGCGCGAAAGCGUGGGGAGCAAACAGG